rnacentral:lncRNA from 1 species
AUGCACGGCUGCCUGGAGGAAAGAGGGGAAUGCAUUUCCAGGGCUGUGUUUGUCUUUCCAGGGGAGACAAUUAUGAUGUUAGAUAUGGAGCUGUAUCCACAGGGUGUGAUUUUGCUCUCUGAGAUGCAACAAGCUCUGGUGUAUUGUAACUUAUCUAAUUUGCUUGAUUGGACAUUUUUAAAGUCUGUCCUCUCAUGCAGCUGCAUUGCUCUCCUUUUGCAGGCUAAGCAGCUUAAGCCUCAUUAUGCUCUCCUGUGCAAGUUCCACGACUCGCACAGAGCAUCUCAGCCAGGCCAUAAAACUGCAGGGUGCAGAAAGUUGAAACUUACUGCACAGUGCAGCAAAGGAGCAAGCAGUCAGUUUGCUGCUGCAUCACAUAAUAGCUGCGUGCCGGACAGUUGGUGCCAACCCACCACGAGUGCUGCUCAGUCCAGGAGGGAGGAGGUGGAAGAAUCCGACCCUGUUAUUUCAAGGCGACGCUGUACCAGUUUUAGCUUCUCUUAAUGGAAGAAAACCAGGGCCAGUGUUUGCUCCUGAACAAGCGUGUGGUUGUGUGUGAGCUGCUGGUGCAGCUCUGCUCCUGCUGAAAGGCAGAUUAACUGCUGCCACCUCAGCCAGGCCUCUCACCCAGAUGGAAAGCAGCACAAAGCGAGGAACAUCCCGCAUUUCUCACUUAAUUGGUAAAACAGAUUCAUUUGACUACCGAGACCUGGAAGAAAGGAACUGACACACCUCACUGGUGAUUCACGUUCAUGGAUGGCUCGCGCUGAUUAUUUCCACCAGCAACACUUCCUGCCCAGCUCUGCCAGAGGACAAACGUCGCCGUUUCCUGCAGCCUUCCCCAAGCAAUUUGGGAACUGAUGCCAUCAAACAUCACUGAUGUAAAGCAGCGAGCCUAACCUUCCUUCCAAAGCUCUUGAGUUCCAGCUGCCGUGCCAACAACCCGUGUGUUUCCCACUCCAAGGGUCAGGGAGCGCAUCUCUAACCAAAGGCUCGGUGCCUGUUUUGCUGUUAAAUCAGCUCAAAUCUCCCGCCGGCUCUGUGAGUUCCAGUCACAGCAGUGACGCUCAGGAAGAGCACAACGGAGCCAAGAAAUCAGGCUGGCAGAGCUGAGCAACCCCUCGUGCUACGCCUGGGGUUUUAGUAGAACCUUCUCAGAUUUCCUGGUGACUCAAACUACGCUGCUGACCGGGACGAAGGGCACCAGCAAGCACAGAUGGGGUUACAGCAGCGUGCUGGCCCAGAAUAGCAGCCAAUGCCCACCAGCUCUGCCCCUGCUGGAAGCAGCUUUGCAUCCCCCACUGCCCCCUUCCCCUCUGCGAGCAGCUGCUGCGCUCUCCCAGUGCCCUGCAAUCCCCAGAGCCGGGCAUUUUCUCUCUUGCAGUGUCUGCAGCCCCAUAUAGCAUGCUGUAGCACCCUGCUGCACCCUUCCAGCAGCAGCACCCACUGGGCCUGCGCCCAGCUCCCCUUCUCCCCCUUCCUUUUGCACCUUGCAUUACGGCCC